CCUACGGGUGGCAGCAGUGAGGAAUAUUGGUCAAUGGACGAGAGUCUGAACGAGCCACGCCGCGUGAGGGAUGACUGCCCUAUGGGUUGUAAACUUCUUUUAUAAAGGAGUAAAACGAGGCAAGUGUGCCUUUUUGCAUGUACUUUAUGAAUAAGGAUCGACUAACCUCGUUCCAUCAGCCGCGGUAAGACGGAGGCUGCGUGCGUUGUCCGGAUUUAUUGGGUUGAAAGGGAGCGUAGGUGGGUUGUUAAGUCAGUUGUGAAAGUUGGCGGCUCAACCGAAAAAUGGCAAUUGAUACUGGCAGUCUUGAGUACAGAUGAGGUAGGCGGAAUUCGAGGUGUAGCGGUGAAAUGCGUAGAUAUCACGAAGAACCCCGAUGGCGAAGGCGGCUUUCUGAACUGUGACUGACGCUGAGGCUCGAAAGCGUGGGGAGCAAACAGGAUUAGAUACCCUUGUAGUC
rnacentral:rRNA from 1 species